rnacentral:lncRNA from 1 species
UCCUUUAAGGGUGGGGGAUACAGGUAACCAGGACUUAGUGUUCACAGCCAAGCGUUAGGGAGGGUUGGCUGAAGUGGGAAUGAAGUAAGACCAAGAUUAGGAAGUUUUUUGGGAUUUGUUUUGUAACAGGAGCUCAUGCAGAGGGCUGAGGUCAUGGUUCUGGUGCAUCCAGACUGGGGAUGGAUUUUGAGUUUCACAAAUAAUAGCUUUUUGCAUCUCUGUUUCUUCACCAGAUACAAUUCAGGGGAUCUUUUCUUGCGUCCCCUGAGCCCUGAUCUGUCCAUAACAGACCUUUUCCUCCAAAACCUCCUGAAGUUUUGAAGGGCAGCUGUGAAAUGAAGAGGAGAUGCUUAAUUUCAUUCUACUGCAGCAGCUCAGCAGCACGAAGACAGCGCUGCCCUGGGCUGCGUGCUCCUUACCUUGGGUGGGAGGAGACCCAGGUGGUGGAAGAUGUGACCCUCAGGAUGCAGACAGCAGCAGGAAUCCCCCGGGAGCCGAGCGAGCGGCCGGCGCGGGGCGGAGGAGCAGAGGCUGCCCUUUGCCCACUGGCCCAUGUGGAAGUGGACUUUGGAAGUGGCAACAGGGAGCAGAGGAAGGGCCCCGGCGGCCUCUGAG